GAAAUGCGAUAAGUAAUGUGAAUUGCAGAAUUCAGUGAAUCGUCGAAUCUUUGAACGCACAUUGCGCUCCCUGGUAUUCCGGAGAGCAUGCCUGUCCGAGCGUCAUUGCUGCCCUUCAAGCCCGGCUUGUGUGUUGGGUCGUCGUCCCCUCCGGGGGACGGGCCCGAAAGGCAGCGGCGGCACCGCGUCCGGUCCUCGAGCGUAUGGGGCUUUGUCACCCGCUCGAUAAGGACCGGCCGGGCGCCAGCCGGCGUCUCCAACCUUUUUUUCUCAGGUUGACCUCGGAUCAGGUAGGGAUACCCGCUGAACUUAAGC
rnacentral:misc_RNA from 1 species